ensembl:lncRNA
GGGGGGUUAGGGCAUAGUGGGUGGUCACCUCAGAGUUUUGGUACAGGCCAGUGAUAUCCCAUCAGCAAGUGCAGAGGAUUAACUUACUAUCUGAAUGCCUCCAGAUUCAAGUUAUAAAUAUCAUCAGAUGUGACUGACUGACAUGCAUCGCUGACUAUUGCCCAGAAGUGGCGUCUUCUGGUCUGGGACUGGCAUGGACUGCAGCCGCUGGCAGCGAGCACCAGAGAGAGAGGUGGGCGUGGUUUUCAAGGCUGACUUGGCGUGAGAAUCUGUGAGAUUGACCAAAACAGGUGUAUUUCUUGGCAUGAGAUGCAUUGAAGUCAAUGGAGUUUUUUUUUCCAUUGCUAGCAUGGGACAGGAGAUGAAAGCGUGUGUCUCACGCCAAAAGCGUGAGAGUUGGCAACCCUGGAUCCGAGUGUUCAAUCUGGUGAUCACCUGGCACAGAGUAGGUACACUCCCCAGCCAUUAACUUGUAGCGGGAGGUCACCAUCAUCAUCGUGGGAGAGAGACAAUUUCCUCCGCCAUGCUGUGGCUCUGGGAUGCUGUGGCCUGGGAUGCUGUGGCUCUGGGACGCCUGCCUGCUCGAGGUGGGCUUGACUUGACUCCCUGUCUGUCUGCCGCUGUCAGCGGCGGGUUGGAGAUGCUGUCUGAUGUGGCCUGUUCGCCCGAGGGUAAUGACAGAUAUGGCUACCAGCACCAGCGACCUGCUGUAAUUCAGCACUUUAUAAAUGUAGUUAUGCAACUAUAGAAACAUGAGAGAAAGAGAGAGAGAGAGUGAGAGAGAGAGAGUGAGAGAGAGAGGGGGAGAGAGAGAAAGAUAGAUAGAGGGAGAGAGAUGGAGAGAGAGAGAAAGAGAGCGAGAGAGAGAGAGAGGGUAUUUAGGGUGAAGGCUGAGACUGGGGCUUGGCAAGUGAAGUGAGGUUUCUUUCUGUACUCUAAGUAGCAGCAUGGUGGAGGGGUGCCACCACAAGGGCUAUAUUACUGGCUCUACCAUAAGAUUCACAAAAUAUACUUUAUGCUUCCACAGUGUGUGCUGGGUAACUGCAGAGGAGUUACUCAUCACAGUUGUAGACACCACACUAUAAUUGUGAGUAUAGGCAGGUUGUCUGGUAAUGCCAGCUUUGCAGAAAUUAUAUAAAACACAAAUGGAGGUUAUGCGAAAUGCAGCGGGUCUGACUGCAUGCGAUCUGGUCCACGUGCACACAUCUGUGAGUAAUGACAUCACACGCAUAACCUGCAAUGCACCUCGCGUCUUGAGAAAGAAAUACGCUGCUCUGGCAUUCAGUCAUUUCACAAGCUAGUCACUGUUCCAAGUUCCCUGAUGGCUGUGCAAGACAACCAGAACACAUCCAACAUUACUCUCAGUCUUAAGAAAUCAAUAAGAAUAUCAUUAUGAUUCUGUGCAAGAUGUCUCCCAAUUCAGUUAGCAGAAGCUACUAACAGGAAGUGACUUCUGAGUGUUGUGGGCAUCUGGUCUGCGGGUAAUUAAUCUGAUCUCUAUCCUUUCAUUUGCGCCUCGUUUUUUCUCCUCACCUCGUACUGACCUGUCCCGCUUCUGGGGCCUGGAUCAAUCCCGAUGCCCCAAAGAAUAAGAUGCCUUACCCAGGAGUGCUCGUCCAGGUCCUCUCUUUGAUUUUUUUGAGGAGGAUGGGGAGGGAGGAAGUGAGCUCUGGUCUCCAUCGACUCAAGAGGUCUUUGCCUUAGCUUGUUGUGUACAAGUUCGGUAACUUCAUUAUGCCACAGACGCAUUAGUGCCAAACGGGAAGGUCACCCUGUAACAAUACAGCCCUUGUUAAUCCCACUCUCUCUUUCUGUCUUUUAACAAAGACAACCACAUACUCAAUCAUAACCAGGUGGUUGCCAAUAACUUAGUGAUAGGCGGUGUUACCCUGGGAGUGAAUGACCCUCUCUAAAAGGCUAUAUCUCUUGUUCUACUCAAUGGAAGAGGUCCAGCUUAUUACAUAUUAGAUUUAUAUCUUUAAUAAAUUACCUGACACCUGACUGCUGGGUUGCUGGAGGGUAUUUAAAUUAAUUUAGUCUGGAAUCCUCUGCUCCUGGGCAGAGUCCAUAGAGUACGGUACAGUACAGUACAGUUGUGAAACAAAUGAUGAAUGAUGAAUGUUAGACGCACAUAACCAGUAAACAUGGCAAAAUCCAUAUAUUUAAUUUCUUAUUUAAACAUCGCAGAUCUCAGAAAAGACAAAUUAAAAUGCAUUCAUAUUUGAUGACAAGAAUUCACACUCAAAAUGCACAAUACUUUUUGUAAUGCAUAAUAUAGACCAAAAAUAUUUUACUUGCACAC